rnacentral:rRNA from 1 species
GUGUCAGCAGCCGCGGUAAUACGGAGGGUGCAAGCGUUAUCCGGAUUUAUUGGGUUUAAAGGGUCCGCAGGCGGGCCUGUAAGUCAGGGGUGAAAGCCGGCAGCUUAACUGUCGAAUUGCCUUUGAAACUGCAGGUCUUGAGUAAGAUUGAAGUAGCUGGAAUGUGUAGUGUAGCGGUGAAAUGCAUAGAUAUUACACGGAACACCAAUAGCGUAGGCAGGUUACUAACUCUUAACUGACGCUGAGGGACGAAAGCGUGGGGAGCGAACAGGAUUAGAAACCCCCGUAGUCC